rnacentral:rRNA from 1 species
UGGGGAAUUUUGCACAAUGGGGGAAACCCUGAUGCAGCGACGCCGCGUGAUUUAGAAGGCCUUCGGGUUGUAAAAAUCUUUUCUAUGGGAAGAAAAUGACAGUACCAUAGGAAUAAGGACCGGCUAAUUACGUGCCAGCAGCCGCGGUAAUACGUAAGGUCCGAGCGUUGUCCGGAAUCAUUGGGCGUAAAGGGUACGUAGGCGGGUAAGCAAGUUAGAAGUGAAAUCUAUAGCUCAACUAUAGUAAGCUUUUAAAACUGCUCAUCUUGAGGUAUGGAAGGGAAAGUGGAAUUCCUAGUGUAGCGGUGAAAUGCGCAGAUAUUAGGAGGAAUACCGGUGGCGAAGGCGACUUUCUGGCCAUAACCUGACGCUGAGGUACGAAAGCGUGGGUAGCAAACAGG